UUAAUCCAGAGCCACGUGGGACUUGCCAGCCCAAACAGACCCUGGGGCUGUGAGACUUUGAAACCUUAUGGGGUGAGAAAGGACUGAGGUCUGGGGAAGAGUUUGAAUCAAACAGUACUGGCUGAGUCCACUGGAACCUUUUGAGCAGAAGGGGAUGCUGUGAUGGGCUGCCCUGGAGCUCUGCCAGCUACUCCAGGGGAGGGACCUGCUCUGUGAAGACUUUCCUCCUUCUUUCUGUCAGAGGCAUCUUGAUAGGGAAGCUGAAGCAUGGGGGAAUAGCUUUUCUUUGUGGAACAACCCUGCUGUGUGCUUCUUUGUCCCUAUCCUUGCCUCUCCAUAGAAGACAGGCUGUGUGUGGACCACGUGCGUCUGUCGGACCACGGGAACUCUCCUGCUGUUUUAACUGUAUCCCUGUUCAAGAGUUUGCUUAAAAUUAACAUGAGGUAUAAAUUCUGGAACCAUAAUUCACAGAAGUGGAUUGAAAAGUAGUGUUUGUUCAUCUUCUUCACUGUGGAAGGAUUGAAAGGCCAGAGCCCUGGUGAGCAGUGGGGAAGAAAAGUGGUCCAGAAAGGUAAAUGCCUGCCAGGUGAUCCCUGUACCUCGUGGGAACACCCAGUAAUCCAUGCUUUCCUGAGGGACAGUAGGAAGGGGAAGGUGGGAGUCUGUCAGUGGAACAGCUGGGUGAAAAGUUUUCUUUUCAGACCCCACUGAAACCAUGUACACAGAGAAGAAUAAACAUAGUGGAAUAAAUAUACACAUAGAAGAAUAAACAAGCCCAGGUGGGAAAGUUACUCUGAAGGAAGACAAUUUACGAAGUGGACACCCUUAGCCAUUCCUUAGGUAGUUUGAUUCUGGCACAGAGGAAGGUAUUUACCAUGUACAAGGACUGAGUCCUCAUGGGAAUUUAGAUGCACUUAGAAGAACACCAGUUCUGUUGUUUGAAUACAUACUUAUAGAUAGACAAUUCAAUGUCUGCCAAAAAUAUUUGUCUUUUGACAGGUUCAUAGUAUUUUAUGAUCAAACUAAAGCAAACAAUACUGAAGAGUGGGGGAAGAGGAUCUUUUUGUUGUUGCUUAUUCCUCAUCUCAAUAAGGGUCUUGCUAAGGGUCCUACUUAUUUUGUUUUUAUACACAUACACAUAUAUGUAUGUUGUUUUAUACAAUUUUAAACUAAAAUAUUUGUAAAUCCUGGUCAGUAAGUAGAAAUAACAAAAGCUGUUAGAAAUGUUGCCAUUUCAGUGGAGCUUCUGUAAACAUUUCACCACUGGCAAGCACUUGCUGAUCCGUACUUUAAGAUAAUUUCAUUAUUUUUGUUUGUUUGAUUUUAACCUUUGGUUUGUUUUUAACCUUUCCUAGAGUAUUUUUAGUAAUUUUAAUUACUGUUCCUAGACUAAAAUCAGCUUCUGUCCCCAUUUUCCUUAAACAAAUUGUCUUUUCCAAAAGAGCAUCAUAAAAUAGAUGAAAACAGGUUCCAGUGCCUAAAGACUUAAGGAGAGGUAAAGGAUUUGGCAAGGAGAUUGCUAUAAAACUGCUUAUCAAUUUGUACUUUCUGAUUACUCUCCCAACUCUCCCUUCAUUUUCUAUGAGAUGCUCUGUGAGCCAAUGCCCCAACUUUCUUCAGGUGAAACAGAGUGCAGAAUUCUCCUGGUUUGACUUCUAUAGACUCUAUUUAUUGUCUGAUUUCUUAUUAUAAAGUGGAAGAUAAAGAAAAACUGGUGCUUCCUGUUGUCUGCUGUUGAUUUCAGAUUGUGUAACCUAACCGAGAAAUGGCAGUGCUGCAUGAUUUGGAAACUUACAAGAAAAAAAUUCAAACCUUUAGUGUGUCUGAUGGACUAAGAUGAGAGCAUUUAUUAUAUGUACUCUCUUCUUGGGCAUUGCAGUUUGUGGCUAAGAGUCCCUGAAAAAUCUUCAGCAGAAACAUGGAUGAAGUGCUCCUGGUGCAGUCUUUUACUCUCCUGUGUAGCUUUUUAUGAUAAAACAACUGUUUUAAGGAUGACCAUAGGAAAAUGUCUUGUUGCAAGUGCAAGCACCAAUUCCCUGCAUGGAGGAGAAGGACUUCUGCAGCCAAUUGCUGAUGGUUAAUAAGAGCUGGGUGCUGUCAACAUCAGUUUGUUACAUUGCUUUCAAGUGUGGGAGCGUACCUAUGAGUCUGUAUUCCUGUGCAGUCUUUUGGAGAUUACUUGCUGGCAUCCUGAGGACCACUAAUGGACAGUGAUAGAACAGGUGCCUUCAUGAGGAGCUGGAAGUAUUGUCUUAUAGGGGGGUGGCUGCAUUUGGAUCCCAUGAUUUAUCAGUUGGAAGUACACAGGAAACAAGUAAGUGAUGGGUAUGUUACAACUAUUUUAAAAUUGCUUUUUUGCAUUUUUUUUUUCUUUUCUGUUGGCCUGGCUUUUUUGGAAGCAUAUGAAUGCUCUCAAGGUGGGAGGUCUUCACAGUUUGGACUCUUUUUUAUUUAUCAAAGUUUUUAUCAUUAUGUGAUCAACUAAAUCUGAGAUGUGGAACCAGUUAUAAAACAUAAAGAGACUUGGGUAGUCUGUAAGUGUUUUUUCAGCCAUUGCCAGGAAGGUUAAAUAGGAGCAGAUGGUGGUGGGGGGUAGUCAGGAGGAACAGUAGGUUGUUCCCAAAAGAAUGAGGCAUGGAGAUUGACUUUAUGGAUGUAAUGAAGAAGUCACAGCAGGAUUUCUGGGGGUUGUAGCAUAAAUAAUAAUCUCUUGGGCAUUACACAUACCACAUAUUUAAUAGCCUUUGGAGGAAUUGCCUAUUUUGUUGGCCAGUUGUGAACUACUUAUAUUGAAAGACAUUAUUCCUCCUGAAGGAGACUUUCUGUGUCUAAUCAGAUUAUGGCACAAAGAUCUUUAGUCCUUUCCAGCAUUUGGGAAAAAAUACUAUUUCCCACUACAUUUCUAUACUUAAUUCUUGAGCCUGCCUUAGAUCUGUGGCCUGUUAUUUCCUAUAUAUAGCCUAUUUAUAAUCCCAGUUAGAGCUAUUACAGCUGCUUCAAUGCCAAAGGAAAAAAAUCAAACACAAGAUUAUUAAAUCUAAUUUUCUUCCCUUCAUGUAAAACAAAAAUACAAUGUUAUUCAAGCUAAGGCAAAAAUGUGGGAGAAGUUGAAACAAUUUAGGCUGGCUCAUCUGUUUCUAAUUUAACCAAUAACCUUCCAAAAUUCCUCAGAACUGUAUGUUUUACCUUUUUCAAUGGGGAAAACAUCAAUGGUUUGGAAGUUUGGCAUACACUUGAAAUGUUUAAAAGGAUAAAAAGGUGACCCAGAGUGUUUCUGGACUGUUUGCUCAGUGUCAGUGUCAGUUCUGGUAAGAAUUCCAGGGCAGGCAGCUCCAGACCAAGGGAGCGCUGCAUCAAAGCAUUACAGGCUAAAGAUGGAGUUGAUGCAGUCAGGGGAUUUUGUGGAGCAUAGGUAUUGGGGGUUGGGUGUCCUUCCUUUUGUUCCGUCUCACCUAUGGAAUUUUUUGCACAUUAGUUGCGGAAAAACCUGAUUGAUGGUACUUGGUAAGUGCUUGAGAAACACAGGGAGUUUAGCUGGGCAGGAGCAGCUGGAGACUGGCUGAUUUCUUAAGCUGGAGAGGAAGACUCAGAGCUGUUGCGGCUUGGAGAAUUCACCAUCACCCAGAUGGAGCUGCUGCUGCUUCUUCUUCUUCCCUCUUCGUUGGUGCGUCUCGCACCCCCUGUCCUGC